GGGGCUGACCGGUUUUGACAGCGUGUAGAGGUGGUAUGUAAGCAUGCAGAGCAAUGAUGGCUACGCUCUAUAAUCUGGGACAUCGCAAGUUUUAAAUGGCGAAAACAACUACGCUCUUGCUGCCUGAUUGAAGUACAGUAGAUCGGCUUAAUCCCGGCAACAGUUGCCGGGACAAGACAUCGCCCGAUUGUCGUCGUCCCGAGACUAAUCGACAAGGCGGUGCAGUUAAAUCGGGAAUAGGAUCGCAAGAGCCUCGCGCGCGGUCUGAAACAACAGAGGCUAAGGGCGCGGUUGGCUGUCGCUUGCCUGCCACGCCACAAAAACCAACAAGCGAAUAAGCAUGUAGAAAGCAUAUUAGUUCCACGUUUGGACGAGGGUUCGAAUCCCUCCAGCUCCACUU
rnacentral:tmRNA from 3 species